AAGUACAAAGUGCAGGUUGGGGGCCGAAACAGGCCUAGGUUCCCAACCGGGAAUACCUGACCAACGUUGCUUUGGCGGUGCGCCCCCCCCGUGGGUAGCAGCCGGAGAACCACACAGAACCUCCUGUCUUUAGUGUUGUCUGAGCUUGAUAGCAAACCUAUUAAAACUUUCAACAAUGGAUCUCUUGGUUCCGGCAUCGAUGAAGAACGCAGCGAACUGCGAUAAGUAAUGUGAAUUGCAGAAUUCAGUGAAUCAUCGAGUCUUUGAACGCACAUUGCGCCCCCUGGCAUUCCGGGGGGCAUGCCUGUCCGAGCGUCAUUGCUGCCCUUCAAGCCCGGCUUGUGUGUUGGGUCGUCGUCCCCCCCGGGGGACGGGCCCGAAAGGCAGCGGCGGCACCGCGUCCGGUCCUCGAGCGUAUGGGGCUUUGUCACCCGCUCGAUUAGGGCCGGCCGGGCGCCAGCCGGCGUCUCCAACCUUCUAUUUACCAGGUGACCUCGAUCAGGUAGGAUGCUCAUCG
rnacentral:rRNA from 1 species